rnacentral:sRNA from 1 species
ACUUCGGAGAGGAGGUGGUUCGGCAGAUGUACGUACACCGGACGGAAGAGGUGGCUGCGGGCUAGCGGCCCGCCACCACACCGAGUGCGGUGCCGGACCAGCACGCGAGAGCUGCGUGCAGCCGGCCGAAACUCAGGCAGUCACCCGACCCGCGAGCCGCCGGUACGUCCGGCCGGCUUCCCCCGCCGCACGGCGCGGGAACCACGGCUCGCGGGUCGCUCCGU